CUGAAGUCGGUCCCAAGGGGUAUGGCUGUUGCCAUUUAAAGUGGUACGCGAGCUGGGUUUAGAACGUCGUGAGACAGUUGGUCCCUAUCUGCCGUGGGCGUUGGAAGAUUGAAGGGGGCUGCUCCUAGUACGAGAGGACCGGAGUGGACGAACCUCUGGUGUUCGGGUUGUGUCGCCAGACGCAUUGCCCGGUAGCUAAGUUCGGAAUUGAUAAGCGCUGAAAGCAUCUAAGCGCGAAGCGAGCCCUGAGAUGAGUCUUCCCUGACAGUUUAACUGUCCUAAAGGGUUGUUCGAGACUAGAACGUUGAUAGGCAGGGUGUGUAAGCGUUGUGAGGCGUUGAGCUAACCUGUACUAAUUGCCCGUGAGGCUUAACCAUACAACACCCAAGGGGUUUUGUA
rnacentral:rRNA from 1 species